rnacentral:rRNA from 1 species
CCUACGGGAGGCAGCAGUGGGGAAUAUUGCACAAUGGGGGAAACCCUGAUGCAGCGACGCCGCGUGAAGGAAGAAGUAUUUCGGUAUGUAAACUUCUAUCAGCAGGGAAGAAAAUGACGGUACCUGACUAAGAAGCCCCGGCUAACUACGUGCCAGCAGCCGCGGUAAUACGUAGGGGGCAAGCGUUAUCCGGAUUUACUGGGUGUAAAGGGAGCGUAGGCGGUUUAGCAAGUCAGAAGUGAAAGCCCGGGGCUCAACUCCGGGACUGCUUUUGAAACUGCGUGGCUGGAGUGCAGGAGGGGCAGGCGGAAUGCCUGGUGUAGCGGUGAAAUGCGUAGAUAUCAGGAGGAACACCGGUGGCGAAGGCGGCCUGCUGGACUGCAACUGACGUUGAGGCCCGAAAGCGUGGGGAGCAAACAGGAUUAGAUACCCUGGUAGUC